AGUGGACGCUGGCGGCAGGCCUAACACAUGCAAGUCGAACGGUAACAGGAAACAGCUUGCUGUUUCGCUGACGAGUGGCGGACGGGUGAGUAAUGUCUGGGAAACUGCCUGAUGGAGGGGGAUAACUACUGGAAACGGUAGCUAAUACCGCAUAACGUCGCAAGACCAAAGAGGGGGACCUUCGGGCCUCUUGCCAUCGGAUGUGCCCAGAUGGGAUUAGCUAGUAGGUGGGGUAACGGCUCACCUAGGCGACGAUCCCUAGCUGGUCUGAGAGGAUGACCAGCCACACUGGAACUGAGACACGGUCCAGACUCCUACGGGAGGCAGCAGUGGGGAAUAUUGCACAAUGGGCGCAAGCCUGAUGCAGCCAUGCCGCGUGUAUGAAGAAGGCCUUCGGGUUGUAAAGUACUUUCAGCGGGGAGGAAGGGAGUAAAGUUAAUACCUUUGCUCAUUGACGUUACCCGCAGAAGAAGCACCGGCUAACUCCGUGCCAGCCGCCGCAGUAA
rnacentral:rRNA from 1 species